UACGUAGGUGGCAAGCGUUGUCCGGAAUUAUUGGGCGUAAAGCGCGCGCAGGCGGCCUUUUAAGUCUGAUGUGAAAUCUUGCGGCUCAACCGCAAGCGGUCAUUGGAAACUGGAGGGCUUGAGUACAGAAGAGGAGAGUGGAAUUCCACGUGUAGCGGUGAAAUGCGUAGAUAUGUGGAGGAACACCAGUGGCGAAGGCGGCGAUCUGGGUAGAUACUGACGCUGAGGUGCGAAAGCGUGGGGAGCAAACAGG
rnacentral:rRNA from 1 species